rnacentral:rRNA from 1 species
GACGAACGCUGGCGGCGUGCUUAACACAUGCAAGUCGAACGGAAAGGCCCUGCUUUUGUGGGGUGCUCGAGUGGCGAACGGGUGAGUAACACGUGAGUAACCUGCCCUUGACUUUGGGAUAACUUCAGGAAACUGGGGCUAAUACCGGAUAGGAGCUCCUGCUGCAUGGUGGGGGUUGGAAAGUUUCGGCGGUUGGGGAUGGACUCGCGGCUUAUCAGCUUGUUGGUGGGGUAGUGGCUUACCAAGGCUUUGACGGGUAGCCGGCCUGAGAGGGUGACCGGCCACAUUGGGACUGAGAUACGGCCCAGACUCCUACGGGAGGCAGCAGUGGGGAAUAUUGCACAAUGGGCGGAAGCCUGAUGCAGCAACGCCGCGUGCGGGAUGACGGCCUUCGGGUUGUAAGCCGCUUUCGCCUGUGACGAAGCGUGAGUGACGGUAAUGGGUAAAGAAGCACCGGCUAACUACGUGCCAGCAGCCGCGGUGAUACGUAGGGUGCGAGCGUUGUCCGGAUUUAUUGGGCGUAAAGGGCUCGUAGGUGGUUGAUCGCGUCGGAAGUGUAAUCUUGGGGCUUAACCCUGAGCGUGCUUUCGAUACGGGUUGACUUGAGGAAGGUAGGGGAGAAUGGAAUUCCUGGUGGAGCGGUGGAAUGCGCAGAUAUCAGGAGGAACACCAGUGGCGAAGGCGGUUCUCUGGGCCUUUCCUGACGCUGAGGAGCGAAAGCGUGGGGAGCGAACAGGCUUAGAUACCCUGGUAGUCCACGCUGUAAACGGUGGGUACUAGGUGUGGGGUCCAUUCCACGGGUUCCGUGCCGUAGCUAACGCUUUAAGUACCCCGCCUGGGGAGUACGGCCGCAAGGCUAAAACUCAAAGGAAUUGACGGGGCCCCGCACAAGCGGCGGAGCAUGCGGAUUAAUUCGAUGCAACGCGUAGAACCUUACCUGGGUUUGACAUGGAUCGGGAGUGCUCAGAGAUGGGUGUGCCUCUUUUGGGGUCGGUUCACAGGUGGUGCAUGGCUGUCGUCAGCUCGUGUCGUGAGAUGUUGGGUUAAGUCCCGCAACGAGCGCAACCCUUGUUCACUGUUGCCAGCACGUUAUGGUGGGGACUCAGUGGAGACCGCCGGGGUCAACUCGGAGGAAGGUGGGGAUGACGUCAAGUCAUCAUGCCCCUUAUGUCCAGGGCUUCACGCAUGCUACAAUGGCUGGUACAGAGAGUGGCGAGCCUGUGAGGGUGAGCGAAUCUCGGAAAGCCGGUCUCAGUUCGGAUUGGGGUCUGCAACUCGACCUCAUGAAGUCGGAGUCGCUAGUAAUCGCAGAUCAGCAACGCUGCGGUGAAUACGUUCCCGGGGCUUGUACACACCGCCCGUCAAGUCAUGAAAGUUGGUAACACCCGAAGCCGAAGGCCUAACCGUUGUGGGGGAGCCGUCGAAGG